AUCUCUUUCGAUGUUUCAGUAGUGCUCCUUUUAUUGCAUGAAUACUUCUCAAUUGCUUCCCCGACCAUACCCAUUUCGGUUGUAAUAAAAAAAAAAAAGGAAAAUGAUAAUGCACCCGCACUUAUACUUCCCACGUGUCUGGCGUCUCGUGUCCUAAAUCCAGGUGCCUUUCAACUAAUGCCCAUGAAUUGGGCAGCUCUUUUGCUUCAUUAAUGAAUUCUACAGGGUUCCAAUGCCAUAACCAUAUAUCUGAGUUUUCACCACACAAGUGUGCACGCGUGUGUUGGGGAAAAUAUAAAA